rnacentral:rRNA from 1 species
CCUACGGGAGGCAGCAGUGAGGAAUAUUGGUCAAUGGGCGUAAGCCUGAACCAGCCAAGUCGCGUGAAGGAAGAAGGAUCUAUGGUUUGUAAACUUCUUUUAUAGGGGAAUAAAGGUAUCCACGUGUGUAUAUUUGCAUGUACCCUAUGAAUAAGCAUCGGCUAACUCCGUGCCAGCAGCCGCGGUAAUACGGAGGAUGCGAGCGUUAUCCGGAUUUAUUGGGUUUAAAGGGUGCGUAGGUUGUUUUUUAAGUCAGCGGUGAAAGUUUGUGGCUCAACCAUAAAAUUGCCGUUGAAACUGGAAGACUUGAGUGCGGUUGAGGUAGGCGGAAUGCGUGGUGUAGCGGUGAAAUGCAUAGAUAUCACGAAGAACUCCGAUGGCGAAGGCAGCUUACUAAGCCAUAACUGACACUGAAGCACGAAAGCGUGGGGAUCAAACAGGAUUAGAUACCCCUGUAGUC